UACGUAGGGGGCUAGCGUUGUCCGGAAUUAUUGGGCGUAAAGAGCUUGUAGGCGGUUUGUCGCGUCUGCCGUGAAAAUUCGAGGCUCAACCUCGAACUUGCGGUGGGUACGGGCAGACUAGAGUGUGGUAGGGGAGACUGGAAUUCCUGGUGUAGCGGUGAAAUGCGCAGAUAUCAGGAGGAACACCGAUGGCGAAGGCAGGUCUCUGGGCCACUACUGACGCUGAGAAGCGAAAGCAUGGGGAGCGAACAGG
rnacentral:rRNA from 1 species